UGGGCUAUAGCCAAGCGGUAAGGCAACGGACUUUGACUCCGUCAUUCCUUGGUUCGAAUCCAAGUAGCCCAGCCA
rnacentral:tRNA from 1 species